rnacentral:rRNA from 1 species
GAUGAACGCUGGCGGCGUGCUUAACACAUGCAAGUCGAGCGAGUGGGUUCUUCGGAACAAUCUAGCGGCGGACGGGUGAGUAACACGUGGGCAACCUGCCUCAUAGAGGGGAAUAGCCUCCCGAAAGGGAGAUUAACACCGCAUAAAAUUAUCGAGUGGCAUCACAUGAUAAUCAAAGGAGUAAUCCGCUAUGAGAUGGGCCCGCGGCGCAUUAGCUAGUUGGUGAGGUAACGGCUCACCAAGGCGACGAUGCGUAGCCGACCUGAGAGGGUGAUCGGCCACAUUGGGACUGAGACACGGCCCAGACUCCUACGGGAGGCAGCAGUGGGGAAUAUUGCACAAUGGGGGAAACCCUGAUGCAGCAACGCCGCGUGAGUGAUGAAGGUCUUCGGAUUGUAAAGCUCUGUCUUUGGGGACGAUAAUGACGGUACCCAAGGAGGAAGCCACGGCUAACUACGUGCCAGCCGCCGCGGUAA